rnacentral:rRNA from 1 species
UAAGUCAGCCACGAAUAGGCUAUCCCAACUAACGGCGGGAAAGACUCCACGGAGGGUGUAAGACCCGUGUGGGCGCGUGUUAAAGCUGUGCGGGCUCGGCCUCUAUUCCCUGAGAGUCGCGUUGCUUGAGCAUGCAGCGCUAAGCAGGUCGUAAACUCGAUCUAAGGCUAAAUAUCUCCACAGAACCGAUAGCGAACAAGUACCGUGAGGGAAAGUUGAAAAGCACUCUGGAGAGAGAGUCAAAAGACCGUGAAACCGCUCAGAGUAUAAGCCCAUGGCAGCUUGGAAGGCAUAUCGCUAGCGGGGCAUCGGUCUCCCUUCGCGGGGAGCUGGUGUUACCUUGCUUUUGUUGUGGCUCGUUAUGGUAGGGGGGUCAAGUCCACAUCCCGCCGUCGUGUGGGGGGUUCUCGGGUGUGUUGUGGUUUCUCGGUUGGCUUCGGCUGGCCGGGGGGCUCUUCGUGCUCGGUUCCUCUUUAGACACGGACGUUCAGACUCAGAUGCAAGACGCGAUAAACAGCCCACCACGGCACGUUGUGAGGUCACCCACAGGCUCAACUUUCGAUCGUGGGCCUUGACGCCGAGCAAGCACAAUGCGUGUCGCUGAGGUUCCUAACCAGGCAAUGGUGCCAGGAUCGUGGAACGACACGCGCUCAACAGUCAGGUUCGGGCGGAGACAGAGUUCUGGUAUGAUCCUCUUGCGACGAGCCGGCUUCUGGCCAAUAUCCGAUGCUCAGGUCUCCCGCAUGUGCCGCGGGAGAUCGCCUUGACGGUCUGGA